GGAAUUCGAACGCAAUAAGAGGGUACAGUAUGUUGUACAAUUGGAGGAGAAGACCAGAUUGCAGGAAGAAUUGACACAUAAACUUGAGGAGGAGCGAGUUGUCCGGAUCCAGAGCGAAGCGGGCCUCAUGGUGCUUCACGAGAUGUUACCUGACGUUGAGGAGAAGUUGAAUGACCUUCGCGACCAAAUUGAGACACUGAUUGCGCAGUUACAGGAUCAGAAAAGAUUGAGGGAAGAGGUCGAACAGAAAUUGGACUGUGAACGCAAGGAAAGGUUGCAACAUGUGGCAAAAGUAGAGGAACGAACGAAAUUUUAUGAGGAAACAUUGGAACAGGAACGCAUUGAGAGGUUACAAUUUGUUGCGCAACUGGAGAAGAGAACCAGAUUGCAGGAAGAGUUGGCACGAAAACUUGAGGAGGAGCGGGUUAUGCGGAUCCAAAGUGAAGCGGGCCUAGCUGUUUUCCAUGAGAUGUUACCUGACGCUGAGAAGAAGCUGAAUGAUCUACUUGCGCAGUUGCAAUCACAGAAUGGAUUGAAGAAAGAGAUUGAAGAGAAAUUGGAUUGGGAACGCAGAGAAAGGAUGGAACAUGUGGCAAAAACAGAGGGAGAAGCGAAAAUGCAUGAGG
rnacentral:lncRNA from 1 species